AGCAGCCGCGGUAAUUCCAGCUCCAAUAGCGUAUAUUAAAGUUGUUGCAGUUAAAAAGCUCGUAGUUGAAUUUCGGGAUUAGUACGUUGGUCGUGCCUUAGGUACGUACUGGUGUUACUGGUUCCUACCUUCUGACGAACCAUCAUGUCAUUAAUUUGGUGUGGCGGGGAAUCAGGACUGUUACUUUGAAAAAAUUAGAGUGUUUAAAGCAGGCUCGCGCUUGAAUACAUUAGCAUGGAAUAAUGAAAUAGGACGUUGACCCUAUUUUGUUGGUUUCUAGGAUUGACGUAAUGAUUAAUAGGGAUAGUUGGGGGCAUUAGUAUUCAAUUGUCAGAGGUGAAAUUCUUGGAUUUAUUGAAGACUAACUACUGCGAAAGCAUUUGCCAAGGAUGUUUUCAUUAAUCAAGAACGAAAGUUAGGGGAUCGAAGACGAUCAGAUACCGUCGUAGU
rnacentral:rRNA from 1 species